AACGGUGUUUUGUAUUGGAUACGGAAAGACAUCAGCUUCGUUACUAUGAUGAAGUAAGCGAUGUUCAUUGUCAAGGUGUUGUCAACUUAUCUGAAAUUAUUUCAUGUGAAAUGUCACAGUUGAAUUCAAACGAGAAGCAAGUUUUUUUCGACAUA